AAACUGAGGUGAAUUGAAGGCCUGGCACCCUCACGGCGAAGUUCUUCUUUUUUCUUUGCUCAGAGCCAAAAAGAAGUUUGAAAAUACUGUUUGCGAACAUUCAGACAAAUGGCAUGCUGCUGGGGGAGGCCUUUAGAGCCAUAAAGUGGAGCUCCAGGUCAUACCUACCGAUGACGUUAAGCAAUGGCAGUAGGAAGGGUGACAUGAGGUUUGUCAUUCUGGAAAGAACCAUUCCCAACAACAGAACAAUCCAAUUUUCUUUUGCAAACUACUGGAGAUUCAUCUUGCCUGAUAGAAGACAAAGAGCUGUAUCCUGAAUGCUGGGAAAAAGUGUGAAUGACCAUGAUAUCUCAAAAUAUACCAGGCUUGACCAAGUUUUGUUUUGAGGACUAAUGUUUGCUGGAUUUAAGUAUUUCUCAUUGCAGCAUGCAGCAAAGUGCGCUAAGUGUUUUCCUACUGAAUACUGGGAACAGCUUUAGACAGAGGAACGACAUGUCCAUUAGAUAGCUUUUGGGAGGUUACUAAAAAAAGUAAUCCACUCCAACAGACUAAUUACUUCUCCAAAAUGUUAAUCAGAUUACUUUUCAGAUUGCUUAAUUAAAUCACAUUACUGAUUCAUUUACUUUCUUAAGUAAAUGACUUUCUAAAACUCUUUCCACUCAACAAUAUUAACAUAAUG